rnacentral:rRNA from 1 species
GACGAACGCUGGCGGCGUGCCUAAUACAUGCAAGUAGAACGCACAGUUUAUACCGUAGCUUGCUACACCAUAGACUGUGAGUUGCGAACGGGUGAGUAACGCGUAGGUAACCUGCCUGGUAGCGGGGGAUAACUAUUGGAAACGAUAGCUAAUACCGCAUAAUAUUGAUUAUUGCAUGAUAAUUGAUUGAAAGAUGCUAUUGCAUCACUACCAGAUGGACCUGCGUUGUAUUAGCUAGAGGUGAGGUAACGGCUCACCUAGGCGACGAUACAUAGCCGACCUGAGAGGGUGAUCGGCCACACUGGGACUGAGACACGGCCCAGACUCCUACGGGAGGCAGCAGUAGGGAAUCUUCGGCAAUGGACGAAAGUCUGACCGAGCAACGCCGCGUGAGUGAAGAAGGUUUUCGGAUCGUAAAGCUCUGUUGUAAGAGAAGAACGGGUGUGAGAGUGGAAAGUUCACACUGUGACGGUAUCUUACCAGAAAGGGACGGCUAACUACGUG